UGUUUGGUUGUCAGAGAAAACAGCCUUCUGUCCUUUCUUUUCACAGAAGACCCAUCUUUGGGAAUGAACCAUGUAGAAAAGAAAGAAUAAUAAAGGUGAAUCAAUCUCCAGGAGCUGACACACUGACUCAAGUGGAGCCUGCAGAUACCUUUUGAGAUUAGACAAAAUCUUGAAGCUUGAAAUGAUCAUCCCUGGAGUCAUCUGAUAGAAGAAUUUUUCCUCUAUCUCUAAAAAGGCUGAAAAAAUGUAGGCAUGUCUAUGGAGGAGCUCACUCUUUGCAGAUACAUUGCUUAUCAGAUCUUUCUCCAAUCCCUCUCAAAGCCUAGCUCCUAGUUUUCUCCCCCUUCUAAUUGCCACCCCAUCCACACCUUUGUCUCCUUCCUUCUUCCAGGGGCAUACUUUUCCUUCCUAAAUUUUGGAAUGCUUCCUUGGGGACAGAUGAUAGAUAGGACAGAGCUGGAUAUGAGGAAGCCUGGGGGACUGGGGACUUCAUAUAUAUAUAAGGUCUAGGUAUUCUUCAAGACAUCCCAAACCAGUGCUCUUCAUUCUCUGCCUGGUCUACCUACCACUGAGCACCAUGCUGAAGGAGGCAAUCCUUGCCUUCACUCUGUUCUCUCUGGUGAUGUCUGCCCCAACAUCAAAACCAGAACCUGUAGAAACUACAGCUGUGGGUAAGACAGAACCCACUGCUGAUGGACCUCAGAAGGGACCCCAAGAACCAGCCAAGACUACAACCAAUCCAGAGACUCCAAAGACAUCUGCUUCUAAGACUAACCAAGUAACUUCAGCACCCCCCCCAAACUACAACCAAGCAGGAGGUUCCAAAGAAUGAGCCAAAGACUGUUGCUCCUGAGAAGAAGCAAGUAACUAAGGCACCAGCUGAAACUACACAAGAUGAGCAGGAUCUGAUGAAGUGGAUACAAAAAAGCAAGUUGUCUUGUUUUCUUAGACUUGGGUCUUUUCCAUUUAUGGUAGCAUACAAUGCCACUGAUAUGUCUCACCUAGAUCUACGUACUCUGUGACCUUUGUUUCUUGCUAGAUGUCUGGGUUUACCCCCUUACCCUAAUCAUAUGAGGAGAACCCAAGAAACUCCUUUGUAUAAACAAUCCCUCCAUCUGCUACUGACAUGACGAAAUUCCCCGGCUCUCUCUUCAUGCCCUUCUAGAUAGUUUUUCCCUCCUAGAAUAGCAGCCCUUGUUCUUUGGUAUGGCACCCUGUCUCACCAGGAGGUCAGAAGUGGCAAUGACAGGAAUGACUGUGUAUUCCUAUUUUUUCCCCCAGUGAUAUCGGAUGAAAAAGAAAUAGAACAUAUUGUGAAUGACUGUGAUGGUAAGUUAACUUGACUCUUUCCUUAUUCAAAUUUUUUUUACUAAGAUUUUCUGACUUGU
rnacentral:lncRNA from 1 species